AGAGUUUGAUCCUGGCUCAGGGUGAACGUUGGCGGCGUGCCUAAGGUAUGCAAGUCGAACGGUUCUUUUAGUUUUUUAUGCUUAUGUGUAUUAAACUUAAAGAAUAGUGGCAAACGGGUGAGUAACGCGUAGAUAAUCUACCUCGAAGAUGGGGAUAGCUCGCCGAAAGGCGGGGUAAUACCCAAUGGUCUACACUCACAUAUGUGUUGUGUAGUAAAGCUCCGGCGCUUCGAGAGGAGUCUGCGUUCUAUCAGCUUGUUGGUAGGGUAAUGGCCUACCAAGGCUAAGACGGAUAGCUGGCGUGAGAGCGUGACCAGCCACAAUGGGACUGAGACAAGGCCCAUACUCCUACGGGAGGCAGCAAUUAGGAAUCUUGCACAAUGGGGGCAACCCUGAUGCAGCGACGCCGCGUGGAGGAAGAAGGUCUUCGGAUCGUAAACUCCUUUUAUGUGGGAAGAAUAACUGACGGUACCACAUGAAUAAGUACCUGCUAACUACGUGCCAGAAGCAUCGGUGAUGCGUAGGGUACGAACGUUACCCGGACUUAUCGGGCGUAAAGCGAUGCGUAGGCGUUCUUACAAGUCUGAUGUCAAAGACUUCUGCUCAACAGAAGAAAGGCAUUGGAAACUGUGAGAAUUGAGACAGAGAGAGGUGAGUGGAAUUUCCGGUGGAGCAGUGAAAUGCGUUGAUAUCGGAAGGAACACCAGAGGCGAAGGCGACUCACUGGCUCUGUUCUGACGCUGAGGCUCGAAAGCAUGGGUAGCAAAACGGAUUAGAUACCCGUGUAGUCCAUGCUGUAAACGCUGAAUGCUAGGCGUUUGACAUAACCUUUAAGGAACUUAGGUUCUUUAAUGGAAGUGUUGAGUGCCGCAGUUAACACGUUAAGCAUUCCGCCUGGGAAGUACGAUCGCAAGAUUAAAACUCAAAUGAAUUGGCGGGGACCCGCACAAGCGGAGGAGCGCGUGGUUCAAUUCGAAGAUAAUCGAAGAACCUUACCAGGGCUUGAAAUGUAGCUGCAUGCCUAUGAAAAUAGGAGGCCUUCGAGGGUGCUACACAGGUGCUGCAUGGCCGUCGUCAGCUCGUGUCGUGAGAUGUAGGGUUAAGUCCCAAAACGAGCGUAACCCCUAUCCUAUGUUACAAGUGUCUUAGGAAACUGCCUCGGUAAAACGAGGAGGAAGGUGGGGACGACGUCUGGUCCGCAUAGCCCUUAUGUCCUGGGCUACACACGCGCUACAAUGGCUGGUACAACGGGGAGCAAAGCCGCAAGGUGGAGCAAAUCCUUGAAAACCAGUCUAAGUUCGGAUAGAGGUCUGCAACUCGACCUCAUGAAGUUGGAUUCGCUAGUAAUCACAGAUCAGCAAAGCUGUGGUGAAUACGUUCUCGGGUCUUGCACACACCGCCCGUCACGUCACGGAAGCAGGUGAUACCCGAAGGCGUCCGAUAUUUAUAUUGGAUGACGAAGGUGUUGCCUGUAACUGGGAUGAAGUCGUAACAAGGUAGCCGUAAGGGCGAAUUCCACAUU
rnacentral:rRNA from 1 species